rnacentral:rRNA from 1 species
GAUGGAUAACCGGGAGAAAUCCCGCCUAAUACAACAUAAUGCCGGGAGGGGACAUCCCCUGCCGGCCAAAGGGGGCGACCCGGUCACGGAUGGGCAUGCGGCGCAUUAGGUAGUUGGUGGGGCAACGGCCCACCAAGCCGACGAUGCGUAGGGGUUCUGAGAGGAAGGUCCCCCACAUUGGAACUGAGACACGGUCCAAACUCCUACGGGAGGCAGCAGUGAGGAAUAUUGGUCAAUGGCCGGAAGGCUGAACCAGCCAAGUCGCGUGAGGGAAUAAGGCCCUACGGGUCGUAAACCUCUUUUGCCAGGGAGCAAUGCCGUCCACGUGUGGACGGAAGGAGAGUACCUGGAGAAAAAGCAUCGGCUAACUCCGUGCCAGCAGCCGCGGUAAUACGGAGGAUGCGAGCGUUAUCCGGAUUUAUUGGGUUUAAAGGGUGCGUAGGCGGCCUGCCAAGUCAGCGGUAAAAUUGCGGGGCUCAACCCCGUACAGCCGUUGAAACUGCCGGGCUCGAGUGGGCGAGAAGUAUGCGGAAUGCGUGGUGUAGCGGUGAAAUGCAUAGAUAUCACGCAGAACCCCGAUUGCGAAGGCAGCAUACCGGCGCCCUACUGACGCUGAGGCACGAAAGUGCGGGGAUCAAACAGGAUUAGAUACCCUGGUAGUCCGCACAGUAAAC